rnacentral:rRNA from 1 species
UACGUAGGGGGCAAGCGUUAUCCGGAUUUACUGGGUGUAAAGGGAGCGCAGACGGCAGUGCAAGUCUGGAGUGAAAGCCCGGGGCCCAACCCCGGAACUGCUCUGGAAACUGUGCGGCUAGAGUACUGGAGGGGCAGGCGGAAUUCCUAGUGUAGCGGUGAAAUGCGUAGAUAUUAGGAGGAACACCAGUGGCGAAGGCGACUUUCUGGACCGUAACUGACGUUGAGGCACGAAAGUGUGGGGAGCAAACAGG